GAAAUGCGAUAAGUAAUGUGAAUUGCAGAAUUCAGUGAAUCAUCGAAUCUUUGAACGCACCUUGCGCUCCUUGGUAUUCCUUGGAGCAUGCCUGUUUGAGUAUCAUGAAAUCUUCAAAGUAAAUCUUUUGUUAACUCAAUUGGUUCUACUUUGGUAUUGGAGGUCUUUGCAGCUUCACACCUGCUCCUCUUUGUUCAUUAGCUGGAUCUCAGUGUUAUGCUUGGUUCCACUCGGCGUGAUAAGUUAUCUAUCGCUGAGGACACUGUAAAAGGUGGCCAAGGUAAAUGCAGAUGAACCGCUUCUAAUAGUCCAUUGACUUGGACAAUACUUUUAUGAUCUGAUCUCAAAUCAGGUAGGACUACCCGCUGAACUUAAGC
rnacentral:misc_RNA from 1 species